GUGGCUAUAGCUCAGUUGGUUAGAGCGCGGGAUUGUGAUUCCCGAGGUCGCGGGUUCGAGCCCCGUUAGCCACCCC
rnacentral:tRNA from 1 species